ACGGUAGCUAAUACCGCAUAAUGUCGCAAGACCAAAGAGGGGGACCUUCGGGCCUCUUGCCAUCGGAUGUGCCCAGAUGGGAUUAGCUUGUUGGUGGGGUAACGGCUCACCAAGGCGACGAUCCCUAGCUGGUCUGAGAGGAUGACCAGCCACACUGGAACUGAGACACGGUCCAGACUCCUACGGGAGGCAGCAGUGGGGAAUACUGCACAAUGGGCGCAAGCCUGAUGCAGCCAUGCCGCGUGUAUGAAGAAGGCCUUCGGGUUGUAAAGUACUUUCAGCGGGGAGGAAGGGAGUAAAGUUAAUACCUUUGCUCAUUGACGUUACCCGCAGAAGAAGCACCGGCUAACUCCGUGCCAGCAGCCGCGGUAAUACGGAGGGUGCAAGCGUUAAUCGGAAUUACUGGGCGUAAAGCGCACGCAGGCGGUUUGUUAAGUCAGAUGUGAAAUCCCCGGGCUCAACCUGGGAACUGCAUCUGAUACUGGCAAGCUUGAGUCUCGUAGAGGGGGGUAGAAUUCCAGGUGUAGCGGUGAAAUGCGUAGAGAUCUGGAGGAA
rnacentral:rRNA from 1 species